AUAUUUUGCAAUAAUCUUCAACCAAUGUUCAAACUUGAUUCUUGUAACACUGUUAGGCCGGAUGCCCUUGAUGUUUAUGAAAUAGAAAAUGCCAAGUUAUAUCAAUUUUUGGAUGAACUCUCUUCUAAGAUCACCUUGACACUGAUAUAUGGACUUCAGACCAUCAGAAUUUUACCUAUAAAUGUUUGACUGCCCAUUAUGUGACUAAUGAUUGGGAGUUAACGAAGAAAUUCCUUGCUUAUAGACGCAUUGAUUACCUGCAUGAUGGAGACCAUUUGUUUAGCUUUAUCAAAGAUCUAAUUUUAGAGUGGAACAUAGAUAAGAAGUUGUUUUCAAUGGUAGUCGAUAAUGCAACGAGUAAUGAUGUCAUGGUGACACUCUUAAAGUGAUGGCUACAUGACCAAGGGUUAUUACAUUUGGGUGGACAAUUGUUUCAUGUGCGUUGUAGUGCGCACAUAUUGAAUUUAGUUGUUCAGGGUGAUUGGGGAGUCUUAUUUCAAAAAUUCGAGAAAGUGUGAGAUAUUUAGAGAGGUCUCCUUAUGGAAAACAAAAAUUUGAUGUUGCAGUGAAUCAUGUUAAGUUACAUCAUAAAAAGAAAAUCCCCAUAGAUGCUCCUACUAGAUGGAACUCCACUUAUUCAAUGCUUGAACCUGCAUUAGAUUUGAAAAGUGCAUUCCGCGGCUUAGGGCAAAUUGACAAACAAUAUAAGCACAAUCCUUCUGAGGAUGAGUGGCAUGUAGCAAAUGUGAUUUGUGGGUGCGUGGAGAUUUUUUUUGAUGCUACAUCUCACUUUAGUGGUACCACUUUUCCUACUUCAAAUGUGUUUUUUCCCGAUAUUUGUCUUAUUCAACUUGAAAUGAAAAAAUGGGGGCAAAGUGAAUGUGAUUGCAUUCGAUUGAUGGCUGGUCCAAUGAGAGUGAGAAUUCAAAAAUAUUGGGAAGAAUGUUCUUUGGUGUUAGCAAUUGCAGUGGUUCUCGAUCCGAGAUUUAAAAUGGACUUGGUGGAAUACUACUUUAGGCUUAUUUAUGGUGUUGAUGCUAAUAAGCAUAAUCAAAGGGUCCAUAAUGGUUUUGUUGAUCUUUUUUUUAUGAGUAUAGGAGUGAUUCUUCUGAUUCUAUGAGUUGCAUUGCACUUGUUUUUGAAAAUAGUAGCUCAAAUGGUAGUCAAUUGCUUGUCAGUUCUUCGAAACAAGAAAGUUUGGCUGCUUUUCAUACGUGGUAUGCCCAAGAACGUGCUUCUAACAUUCAUGCCUAUCAAAAAUUAGAGGUGGAGCAAUACUUGGACGAGUUGGUGUUUCCAAGUAAUGAGAGUUUCAAUAUUCUACAUUGGUGGAAAGUGAAUAAAGCAAAAUUUCCUACUUUGGCAAGGAUGGAUCAUGAUGUUUUAAGUGUUCUAGCUACUACGGUUGCAUCAGAGGCAGUGUUUAGUGUAGGAGGUAGGGCGAUUGAUGAGACACUUUCUUCAUUACUUCCAGAUAUUGUGGAGGCCUUGAUCACUUGCAAUGAUUGGAUUGAAUCAACCAAAAAUAGAAAUGUAGAAGAAUGAUGACAUGAGUAGAUGGAUUGUUUCUGUGUUGGUUUUGAUGCCUUGGUGAACUUUGUUUCUGCUUUAUAUCACUUGGUUUGUCAUUUAUUCAUCGUAUUAUGACAUAAUUUGAUAAUCUGUUUGCAUAUUAAGGUAGUAACUUUCUUGAUUUGCAGGUUUGAUAAUGAGCUUAACAAAAUGGUUGCUAUCAAAGUUAUUGACUUGGAAGAAUCGUUGGGGCUAGCUUUAUGGAUGCUUGCAUCUUUGGAAUGAUUAAGGGUUCAGUUUUUUUGUUUUAGCUUUAGGCCAGCUUAGGGAGGUUCUGUCCAUUUGUGUUCCUAUUAAUGUUGUUUUCAUCCAUACUUUCUUUUUUGUUUUAGGUCUUUUUAGCUCUACUCAGAUGAGGGGUUGAUUUGUUUGCUUUUUGUAUUUAUCUCC